GUGGGCCUUGGGCGCCGGCUUCAACGCCGCCACCUGGUGCGUGGCCGCCGUGCUCUUUUAUGACUACGGUGGAUCGUUCGAGCGCACCGCGCUCAUG
rnacentral:tRNA from 1 species